GCAGGCGUAUGCUAGGACAUGGAUUAGGUUGCGGCGUUCUGCCUAUGAUAUCAUAGAGGAGAUGGAAUAUGAAGAUGACGAUUGUGUAGAGUUGGUCCGCAUAGAGGACUCUAUCGAGGUGAUAGAUCUCUCUUCGGACUCCAAGCUAGAGGAGGACCCGAGUGAGGGUUCUAGUGCCCUCGUUAGUAUUGGAGCUAGCCGUUAUGAGCUAUUUCCUUUUCCUUUUUGAUUUUUGGGGUUAGGGUAUCUGUAUAGGGUACUUUUGUAGUGCUGAAGAAUUCAACCUAUUUUGCAUAGCUUCAGUUGGGCGAUGAUUACAUUAUGCCUUAUAUUUUGUACAAACAUUUUACUUGACCAAGAA
rnacentral:lncRNA from 1 species